AGUGAACGCUGGCGGUAGGCCUAACACAUGCAAGUCGAACGGCAGCACAGUAAGAGCUUGCUCUUACGGGUGGCGAGUGGCGGGCGGGUGAGGAAUACAUCGGAAUCUACUUUUUCUUGGGGGAUAUCGGAGGGCCACUUACGCUAAUACCGCAUACGACCUACGGGUGAAAUCAGGGGAUCUUCGGACCUUGCGCGAUUGAUUGAGCCGGUGUCGGAUUAGCUAGUUGGCGUGGUAAAGGCCCACCAAGGCGACGAUCCGUAGCUGGUCUGAGAGGAUGAUCAGCCACACUGGAACUGAGACACGGUCCAGACUCCUACGGGAGGCAGCAGUAGGGAAUAUUGGGCAAUGGGCGAAAGCCUGACGCAGCCAUGCCGCGUGGGUGAUGAAGGUCUUCGGGUUGUAAAACCCUGUUGUUGGGGAAGAAAAGCAGUAUGAGAAUAUCCCGAUGUUCUGACGGUACCCAAAGAAUAAGCACCGGCUAACUUCGUG
rnacentral:rRNA from 1 species